UGUUAUUUUGUGAAUCUGAGCCUAAAAAAAACAAAUUGGAAAUUAAAACUUUCAACAACGGAUCUCUUGGCUCUGGCAUCGAUGAAGAACGCAGCGAAAUGCGAUAAGUAAUGUGAAUUGCAGAAUUUAGUGAAUCAUCGAAUCUUUGAACGCACAU
rnacentral:rRNA from 1 species